GACGUAGGGCGCGAGCGUUGUCCGGAUUUAUUGGGCGUAAAGAGCUCGUAGGCGGCUUGUCGCGUCGACUGUGAAAUCCCGAGGCUCAACUUCGGGCUUGCAGUCGAUACGGGCAGGCUAGAGUUCGGUAGGGGAGACUGGAAUUCCUGGUGUAGCGGUGAAAUGCGCAGAUAUCAGGAGGAACACCGAUGGCGAAGGCAGGUCUCUGGGCCGAUACUGACACUGAGAGACGAAAGCUAGGGGAGCAAAUGGG
rnacentral:rRNA from 1 species